GAGUGUGUUCACAAACAUCGCCACCAUUUCCUUAUCGUACAAAGGCGGCUUAACCUGCGCAGCUAACUCUCUCCAUUGUUGAGCAUACUCCUUGAAAGUUUCGUUGUCUUUCUUUGCCAUGUUUUGUAGUUGCAACCUGUCGGGUGCGACAUUCAUGUUGUACUUAUACUGCUUCGCGAAGGCAUCAGCCAGGUCCACCCAACAACGUAUGCGAGAUGGCUCUAAGUGGGUAUACCAGUUCAAUG
rnacentral:lncRNA from 1 species